GACCUCUUGGUCAAGUGGUUAAGACAUCGCCCUUUCACGGCGGUAACACGGGUUCGAAUCCCGUAGAGGUCA
rnacentral:tRNA from 1 species